rnacentral:rRNA from 1 species
GCAAGUCGUGGGGCAGCAGGUCUGUAGCAAUACAGGCGCUGGCGACCGGCAAACGGGUGUGGAACACGUACACAACCUUCCUUUAAGUGGGGAAUAGCCCGGGGAAACCCGGAUUAAUACCCCGUAACAUAAUGAAAAGGCAUCUUUUUAUUAUUAUAGCAGCAAUGCGCUUGAUGAUGGGUGUGCGCCUGAUUAGGCAGUUGGCGGGGUAAUGGCCCACCAAACCUACGAUCAGUAACUGGUGUGAGAGCACGACCAGUCACACGGGCACUGAGACACGGGCCCGACUCCUACGGGAGGCAGCAGUAAGGAAUAUUGGUCAAUGGACGCAAGUCUGAACCAGCCAUGCCGCGUGGAGGAUGAAGGUCCUCUGGAUUGUAAACUUCUUUUAUCUGGGAAGAAACCCACGAAUUCUUUUGUGGUUGACGGUACCAGAUGAAUAAGCACCGGCUAACUCCGUGCCAGCAGCCGCGGUAAUACGGAGGGUGCAAGCGUUAUCCGGAUUCACUGGGUUUAAAGGGUGCGUAGGUGGGCAGGUAAGUCAGUGGUGAAAUCUCCGGGCUUAACUCGGAAACUGCCAUUGAUACUAUCUGUCUUGAAUACCGUGGAGGUCAGCGGAAUAUGUCAUGUAGCGGUGAAAUGCUUAGAUAUGACAUAGAACACCAAUUGCGAAGGCAGCUGGCUACACGAAUAUUGACACUGAUGCACGAAAGCG